rfam:Aedes aegypti strain Liverpool supercont1.497 genomic scaffold, whole genome shotgun sequence.
UGCCCAGCCACUCCUAUCCCUACCUACUCGCAGUUCUGGCCGGAAUACGAGAAACCUUAGGGAAGAUAGGGUAAUAAACCCCUGUGGGAACUUUGGUCGUAUGCUGGCAGGGAAGG